rnacentral:rRNA from 1 species
GAUCCUGGCUCAGGAUGAACGCUGGCGGCGUGCCUAACACAUGCAAGUCGAACGAAGCUUGACGGAUGAUUUCUUCGGAAUGAAACCAGAUAUGACUUAGUGGCGGACGGGUGAGUAACACGUGAGCAACCUGCCUUUCAGAGGGGGAUAACGGCUGGAAACGGUCGCUAAUACCGCAUGACGUGUUCGGAUGGCAUCAUCUGAACAUCAAAGAUUUAUCGCUGAAAGAUGGG